rnacentral:rRNA from 1 species
CCUACGGGAGGCAGCAGUGGGGAAUAUUGCACAAUGGGGGAAACCCUGAUGCAGCAACGCCGCGUGAGUGAAGAAGUCUUUCGGUAUGUAAAGCUCUAUCAGCAGGGAAGAAAAUGACAGUACCUGACUAAGAAGCCACGGCUAACUACGUGCCAGCAGCCGCGGUAAUACGGAGGGGGCAAGCGUUAUCCGGAUUUACGGGGUGUAAAGGGAGCGUAGACGGCUGCGCAAGUCAGAAGUGAAAGCCCGGGGCUCAACCGCGGGACUGCUUUUGAAACUGUGUAGCUAGGGUGCAGGAGAGGUAAGUGGAAUUCCUGGUGUAGCGGUGAAAGGCGUAGAUAUUAGGAGGAACACCGGUGGCGAGGGCGGCUUACGGGACUGUAACUGAGGUUGGGGCUCGAAGGCGUGGGGAGCAAACAGGAUUAGAUACCCGUGUGGU